UCAUUUUUAAUACCUGGGUGCUGGUCAUUUUUCUCAGUCAUGUUCCAGCACACUACAAAUUUUGCCAGGUUGCAAGUGUUCUGUGGAGACACCGAGAAAGCCUCAGCUGAGGAAGAAUGUGUGUGGCACUGUCCAUAUCUAACCUGGAUUGCGGAUGAUACUCAAGAGGUGUGAAUCACAGGGCAGUAUCUACUUCCAAACAAGUUCUCUUGAGAGACUGCAGAAAAAUCUCCCUCAUUCUCAAACCUCUUUUUCUUCAAGCUUAAGCGCUGUAUAUAAAGAAAAACCAUUUCUCAUCUAAUUGUGCAUAUGGACUGGCAUGGCUUUGUUUUCUUCCUUUGCAAAUAUACUAAACCAAUUUUAA